UGAGAGUUCUACGUCUUGAUCUGCAGGAGC
rnacentral:piRNA from 1 species